rnacentral:rRNA from 1 species
UCGGGAAUUUUGGGCAAUGGGCGAAAGCCUGACCCGGCAACGCCGCGUGAAGGAUGAAGUAUUUCGGUAUGUAAACUUCGAAAGAAUAGGAAGAAUAAAUGACGGUACUAUUUAUAAGGUCCGGCUAACUACGUGCCAGCAGCCGCGGUAAUACGUAGGGACCAAGCGUUGUUCGGAUUUACUGGGCGUAAAGGGCGCGUAGGCGGCAAUUCAAGUCAUCUGUGAAAUCUCCGGGCUUAACUCGGAACGGUCAGAUGAUACUGCUUUGCUAGAGUGCAGAAGGGGCAAUCGGAAUUCUUGGUGUAGCGGUGAAAUGCGUAGAUAUCAAGAGGAACACCUGAGGUGAAGACGGGUUGCUGGGCUGACACUGACGCUGAGGCGCGAAAGCCAGGGGAGCAAA